UACGUAGGGGGCAAGCGUUGUCCGGAUUUAUUGGGCGUAAAGAGCGUGUAGGCGGCCGUACAGGUCAGCUGUGAAAACUCGAGGCUCAACCUCGAGACGUCGGUUGAAACCGUACGGCUAGAGUCCGGAAGAGGAGAGUGGAAUUCCCGGUGUAGCGGUGGAAUGCGCAGAUAUCAGGAAGAACACCCGUGGCGAAGGCGGCUCUCUGGGACGGUACUGACGCUGAGACGCGAAAGCGUGGGGAGCAAACAGG
rnacentral:rRNA from 1 species